UGGGGAAUAUUGCACAAUGGACGGAAGUCUGAUGCAGCGACGCCGCGUGGGGGAUGAAGGCUUUCGGGUUGUAAACUCCUUUCAGUACAGAAGAAGCUUUAUUGUGACGGUAUGUGCAGAAGAAGCGCCGGCUAACUACGUGCCAGCAGCCGCGGUAAUACGUAGGGCGCGAGCGUUGUCCGGAAUUAUUGGGCGUAAAGAGCUCGUAGGCGGUUUGUCGCGUCUGCUGUGAAAGACCGGGGCUUAACUCCGGGGCUGCAGUGGGUACGGGCAGGCUGGAGUGCGGUAGGGGUAACCGGAAUUCCGGGUGUAGCGGUGGAAUGCGCAGAUAUCAGGAGGAACACCGAUGGCGAAGGCAGGUUACUGGGCCGUUACUGACGCUGAGGAGCGAAAGCAUGGGGAGCGAACAGG
rnacentral:rRNA from 1 species